rnacentral:lncRNA from 1 species
GCUUAAUGAUGCCCUCCUGCAUUUGGUAUCAGCUGCUAUUAGAGGGUUGGGUUCUGGAUCCAGCUGAGGAGUAUCAUGAAAAGGAAGUUCCUGGGGAGAAGGGAAUAAACUUAAGGGAAGAGGGAGGAAUGCUUACUGGAUGUCUGAUUUGGAUUUUGAUCAUUGGUUCAGGGAAGGUGAGCUACGUGGACUGAUGCUGUUCAUUUCCAAAAAGUAAGCAGAUUCAAAAGUUUUUGGCAGUUGAGGAAUAAUAGAGUGGUAUUUCUGGUAGAAAUAUUAAGCCUAGCGUGUCAGCCUAUGGUCUGGGGAGCUUUGUGGCUAACAUGGGUAUUGGCAUUUCCAGAUGCUUCUCAGACCAGAGUGUGGCUUUUUUUCUGAUUAUGGAGUUCCUGUGCCCAUCUUGUUCUUCUGGAUGUGGUCAUCAGCUGCAGAUGUGAAGGUGUAUGACCUAUCUUCUAGAAACAUCAGACUCAGCCUGGGAUGCUUUCUCAAUGGUUUGCCAAGUGAAACAACACGGUCCACUUCAUCUAUUCCUUCAAAUUGUCCCUGGAAAUACCAGGAGAAAUUGAUCCUGCCACCUACUUCACCC